AGCUGUUCCUGAUGUGCUGGGGGAAGUUCAGCUUUGAGUUUCUAGGUGCCUCCCCAGAGUCAAUGUGGGAAGCCGGGUCGAAGCCAGAGUCUCACACGACACCCUGAGCGGGAGUAGGCCAGGACGCUCCUGGACUGAGGAGAGUUGCUGAAGAAGUUCAUGCAGGGAAGGAAUAAAGGAUCACACAGGAAUUUGAGAGCCAAAGUACAGUGCAACUGGCCCCCAGGCCCAGAGGGGCUAGCAGUAAGAACUGAAGAUGUUCCCUCUGGACCUUCCAGCCACAGCUCAUUGAUGGGACAUGUUCUCAGACACUGUUAUAGAAGAGCUGGAGCUCCAGUAGCCAUCUUGGGCCCUGAGAUGACAUUGGGGAAAGGAAGUUUUCUAGAACAAGAUGACACUCUCUGGAGGCUGGCAAGUCCAAGAGCAAGACUUGGUGUCUGACGAGGGCCCAGUUUCUGUUACCAGAUGGUGCCUUGAACACUGUGUCCUCAUAUGGCAGAAGGGCAAAGGGCUGAAUGCUCUCUGAACCCUGGCUUCUAAGGGCAGAAGGGUAGAGCCUUAUGAUUCAAUCACCUCCUCAAGGCCCCAUCUCUUAAUACGGUUGCACUGGGGAUUAAGUUUCAACAUGAACUGUGGAGGGAACACAAACAUUUAAGCCACAGUAAUCCCUAAGGGGAAUCAUCUUACCCCACUGGGGAGAGCUGUCAUGCAAGUUUUCAGAUUUGACUUUCAGAAGCAUAGUCUUUGACCAGAGCUGGUGGAAUGGACAGAACUGCCAGGCUUCAAGCAGAACAAGGAUUGUGGUGGGUGCCCAAGCUCCUCCUGAGCACCCCUUCCCAGCAUCCCAGGUCCCGCCUUUCCCCCCACAGCAUUUGGUGUGGGCCCAGUGAGGAAUGGAUCCCCUGGGUCACAGUGUAGGACAGUGCCUUCCCCAGAAAGCCCUGUGUCCUAGAGCCCAGGAAAGUGUUCUAGGGUGCGGCACAGUCAGAAAAACAGAGAGGAGUUGACGAUAGCCAGAGGGUUUCACCCCAGGAGACACAGUGUACACCAACCUCAGAAAUGCACAGAGGUUCUUUAAAAAGUAGCCAGUCCUGGCAUUGUCCACUCAAAAUGUUCCACCUGAACUUACAGUGAACCCAGACUCCUCAUUUGCCCUAUGGGUCCUUCCCCAUCUGACCUUCACCUGCUCCUCUUCAUCCUCCCCUCCCAGCUCACUCCUCCCACUCAUGUCCAGCCAGGCUGUUCUUUCUUCCCUACUAUUGUAGGUUUGCUCAGCCAGUCCCAGCCUCAGGGCCUGUGCACUUGCCCUUUCCUGGCCUAAAAUGUACACCACUCCCGAACCCCCGGUCCCAUGUGACUGAGUCCCUCUGAUCUUUCUGCUAUUGCCCAGAUUUCAUCUGCACAAGAGGUCUUUCCUGCUCACCUGAAUAUUCCCUCUUCCCCAUAGACACUCACUUUCCCUAAUUCUAUUCCUAGCACCUGUCACUAUUGGAAUUCUCCAUUUCUUUUUUUUUUAUUGUCUGUCUUCCCUACUUAGGAUCUACAUUCCAUGAGGGUAGGUGUGAUGGUUAAUACUGAGUGUCCACUUCAUUGGAUUGAAGGUUGCAAAGUAUUGAUCCUGGGUGUGUCUGUGAGCAUGUUGCCAAAGGAGAUUAGCAUUUGGGUCAGUGGGCUGGGACAGGUAGACCCACCCUUAAUCUGGGUGGGCACCAUCUAAUCAGCUCCCAGAAUAUAAA